AGCGGCGGACGGGUGGGUAACGCGUGGGUAACCGUGCCUCAUACAGGGGAGUAACAGUUGGAAACGACUGCUAAUACCGCAUAAGCGCACAGUACCGCAUGGUACCGUGUGAAAAACUCCGGUGGUAUGAGAUGGACCCGCGUCUGAUUAGCUAGUUGGUGGGGUAACGGCCUACCAAGGCGACGAUCAGUAGCCGACCUGAGAGGGUGACCGGCCACAUUGGGACUGAGACACGGCCCAA
rnacentral:rRNA from 1 species